AUUGAACGCUGGCGGCAGGCUUAACACAUGCAAGUCGAGCGAGCGGCGGACGGGUGAGUAAUGUCUGGGAAACGGCCUGAUGGAGGGGGAAAACUACUGGAAACGAUCGCUAAUCCCGCAUACCAUCAGAUGUGCCCAGAUGGGAUUAGCUAGUAGGGUGGGUAAUGGCUAACCUAGGCGACGAUCCCUAGCUGGUCUGAGAGGAUGACCAGCCACACUGGAACUGAGACGCGGUCCAGACUCCUACGGGAGGCAGCAGUGGGGAAUAUUGCACAAUGGGCGCAAGCCUGAUGCAGCCAUGCCGCGUGUGUGAAGAAGGCCUUCGGGUUGUAAAGCACUUUCAGCGAGGAGGCGUUACUCGCAGAAGAAGCACCGGCUAACUCCGUGCCAGCAGCCGCGGUAAUUC
rnacentral:rRNA from 1 species